CCUACGGGUGGCUGCAGUGAGGAAUAUUGGUCAAUGGGCGCGAGCCUGAACCAGCCAAGUAGCGUGAAGGAUGAAUGCCCUAAGGGUUGUAAACUUCUUUUAUCAAGGAAUAAAGUGAGGCACGUGUGCCUUUUUGUAUGUACUUGAUGAAUAAGGAUCGGCUAACUCCAUGCCAGCAGCCGCGGUAAUACGGAGGAUCCGAGCGUUAUCCGGAUUUAUUGGGUUUAAAGGGAGCGUAGAUGGGUUGUUAAGUCAGUUGUGAAAGGUUGCGGCUCAACCGUAAAAUUGCAGUUGAUACUGGCAGUCUUGAGUACAGUUGAGGUAGGCGGAAUUCGUGGUGUAGCGGUGAAAUGCUUAGAUAUCACGAAGAACUCCGAUUGCGAAGGCAGCUUACUAAACUGCCACUGACAUUGAGGCUCGAAAGUGUGGGUAUCAAACAGGAUUAGAUACCCUGGUAGUC
rnacentral:rRNA from 1 species